rnacentral:sRNA from 1 species
CUCUAGCCCCGAUUGAAGUAAAAAUUCUUAUAAGCCGGAGUUCGGCUUAUAAGAUUGAAACGGAAAGCGGGAGUGAAG